rnacentral:lncRNA from 1 species
GUUCUGAACAGAGGGAUGAUGACAUACUCAGCUCCCACACUGAUGACCAAGGCAGGAAGAAGGAUGGGCUGCCCAGAAGUCCCAGCAGCAGCCAACUGGCCUACACCAUCCUGGACAUCCCACCAUGGUAUCUUUGCAUCUUCCUGGGGAUUCAGCACUUCGUCACAGCCCUGGGGGGACUCGUGGCAGUGCCACUCAUCCUGGCCAAAGACCUGUGCCUGCAGCAUGACCCUCUGA